GGCGCUAUCAAAGAAAGCCAGAUCAAAACAUUUAAAGGUCCCAGACUUUGAUGUGGUAACUGAAUCUCAUCGUAACAUACACUAUAGCCAUGCCAAAAGAUAUGGUGGGGGGCAUUAGAAAAAGC